GCUCACUAGUGAACACUCGCCUAAUACACCAGCCCCCUAGGUCUGACCCCUCAAGUGUAUAUACACAGAUUUCUAUUUUUAUAUGAUACUCCUCAAAACUCUAGAAAAAUGCCAAAAUAGUGAUAGUUUCUUUGAAAGGUCUACAUACAGGCUAGUAUGGUGACAUACAUUCGUAAUCCCAGCCUGAUCUACAGUUGAGUUUCAGCCAGCCAGGACUACACAGAGAAAUCCUGUCUCAAAAACCAGAAGGAAAGAAUUGUUUUAAGAUACAGAAUUUGGGAAAAGAUGGAAACGAAAAAUAAAAAUAAAAAACUUAUAUUUCUGUUCUGAAUUGCUGGGUAACUGAUAAUACCAUAACCCAAAGAAAAUAAAACUGGGAGAGGAGAGGGUGUGGUAGAAGAGGGUGUGGCAGGGUAGGAGGCACUGCUUUUGUGGAUUUAAGGCAUACUGGUAAGGGCUGGAGAGAUGGCUCAGCGGUUAAGAGCACUCACUGACUGCUCUUCCAAGAGGUCCUGAGUUCAAUUCCCAGCAACCACAUGGUGGGUCACAGCCAUCUGUAGUGGGAUCUGAUGCCCUCUUCUGGUGGGUCUGGAGACAGCUACUUAUAUAAAUAAAUAAAUCCUUUAAAAAAAAAAGACAUACUGGUAAAACUAUACAGUGGAAAUGGGAAGAGGGGACUGGAGCCCAUAUCAAAUCAAGAAAAGAACUCAACAAAUUGGGAGAGUCUGGGCUAGGAAGAAGGCUCAGCAGCAGUAAAGCUCAGCCCCUGGAGUCACCAGGCUGUGGUGGCUGUGACACCUUUAAUCCCACACCCAACCUUUACUCCUGCACUCAGGAGGCAGAGGCAGAGGCAGGCGGAUCUCUGAGUUUGAGGCCAGCUGGUGAGUUCCAAGUUCCAGGAUAGUCAAUGCUACACAGACAACCCCUGUCUCCAAAAACAACAAGAGCCCAAAUUUGAUGACCGGGAUCUGUGAUCCCAGGUAGAGGUAGCAGCAUUCAUUGGAAACUUUCAUAUCUAGAAAUAGAGAAAUCCUGCCACAGAAACAAGAUGGAAGGCAAGAACCUCCAACAGAGGUUGUCCUCUGACCUAUACAUGCACACCAUGGCAUGCAAGGGCGCGCGCGCACACACACACACACACACACACACACACACACACACACACACACACACAGAGGAGAGUCUGAGCUAGUGUACCACAGGAAGUGUAGCCCAGUGGGUAGAAUGUUUGCCUGCCGUACAUGAAACCCUGCAUUCAAUCACUAGCACUGAAUAAAACCAGCGGUGGUGCAGAAGUGCAUGCCUGUAGAUCAGAAAUGCAAGGCCAUCUGCUGCGGGCUCACAGAGUAAGUUUGAGGUCAGGCUGAGACAUGGGAGAUUCUGUCUAAAAGAAGAGGAGCCGGGCGGUGGUGGUGCAUGCCUUUAAUUCCAGCACUCGGGAGGCAGAGGCGAGCGGAUUUCUGAGUUCGAGGCCAGCCUGGUCUACAGAGUGAGUUCCAGGGAUACACAGAGAAACCCUGUCUCGAAAAACUAAAAAAAAAAAAAAAAGAGGAGGAGAGGAAGAGACUGGAGGAGAGAAAGAAGAGCUGGAGCCACUGUGGUGACACACACCUUUAAUUCUGGCACUCAGGGAGUUCUGGGCCACCAAAGACCUGCAUCAAAACUAAAGGGUUAGAGAGAGAUGGCUCAGUCCUUAAAGGCUAGGCUCACAAUCAAAAGGAGAGAGAGAGAGAGAGAGAGAG
rnacentral:lncRNA from 1 species